UUUCAAGCAAUGCUGAAAUGAGUAGAUUUUUACUGUUGUUCAGAGAGCCGUUAUUUGCUGAAAGACGGUCAGCAGUUAUUUUUGAAGAUGGUUUCAGCGCUGAUAAAUGCUGAAUAAUCAAGUAUUUAUGGUGACGUCCAUUAUCACGUCAAGUAUCGAUGAUACUUAUUGAGUGCAGCAAUGUGAGUUGCUGUAAAAUUAUAGGUGGUAACGCGAAAAUUUCGCCCUUGUU
rnacentral:ncRNA from 1 species